rnacentral:rRNA from 1 species
UACGUCCCUGCCCUUUGUACACACCGCCCGUCGCUCCUACCGAUUGAAUGACUCGGUGAAAUCAUUAGAUCAUUUUUUAAAUGAAAAGGUGAUUAAAUCACGUUAUUUAGAGGAAGGAGAAGUCGUAACAAGGUAACGGUAGGUGAACCUGCCGUUGGAUCAG